rnacentral:lncRNA from 1 species
UGUGUCUCUGACCUGGAAUACUUCAGGAAAGUUCAGUGAUAUAAAGAACAAUAAUUGGGGCAAGAAAGGAAGAGAAAAACAAUCCCUACUGCCUUUUAGCUAAUAUUGGCAGCCUCCUGCUACUCAAGUAGACAAUUGAAGGACCUCCUGUCCUGUUGUGAGCCCACAGCAGGUCUGGGCAUGAAGGAAACCCACUGGAGGGAGAACGCUGUGUGUUUGGGAAACCCAGGGGCUCCCUAGAAGGACUGAGCUGUCUCCAGGUCUCAGACAGGUGCCAGGGCUGGCAGAAGAGGGGUCUCAGAGCUGUUUUUUCUUGCUGGCUGAGCCUCAGGGCCAUACUGCCUCGGUCUUGUGAGGGGAGCCCUGGCUCUGGCAGGGAAUGGUUUUGGGAGUCCGUGGUCAGCUCCUGUUCCAGGCUUUCAUGCUAACCCUGGGGGUUCGCCUCACUUGUGCUGAGGACAGGUAGGAAAUGUAGAGGCAGUGUGAGAGGCGGAAUGAAGGGACCCCAGAGUCCCAGACAGGGGCAUCCUGUGUGAUGUGGCCAGGAGAGCCAGAACUCAGCAGUGGGGACCUGACUCAUCACUCUCCUGGGCGUCAGCUUUCUCUUCUAUCAAGUGGAGACUGGGGUCCCUUUCUUCCACCUUCCUUUCCUUCCUCAUAUCACAUCCAAAAAAGAUGAGACAGUGGCACGUCUGUGAGGCUGACUAAUCAGUUUUCAUGUAAAAAUUAUUAAGGUGACAAGAGUGGGGAUUGAGGGUCUAAAUGGGCUA